rnacentral:rRNA from 1 species
GCCAAAGCUAUAUCACCCUGCAGCCCAAGACUGGUUACUCACUGAAGCUAAGCAGGGCUGAGCCUGGUCAGUACCUGGAUGGGAGACCACUAGGGAACACUAGGUUGCUGUUGGAA